UGGGGAAUCUUGCGCAAUGGGCGAAAGCCUGACGCAGCGACGCCGCGUGGGUGAUGAAGGCCUUCGGGUCGUAAAGCCCUGUCAAGAGGGACGAAACCUCGCCGAUCUAAUACGUCGGCGACCUGACGGUACCUCUGAAGGAAGCACCGGCUAACUCCGUGCCAGCAGCCGCGGUAAUACGGAGGGUGCGAGCGUUGUUCGGAAUUACUGGGCGUAAAGCGCGUGUAGGCGGCCUCCUCAGUCUGGUGUGAAAGCCCGGGGCUCACCCCCGGAAGUGCAUUGGAUACUGGGAGGCUGGAGUACCGGAGAGGAGGGUGGAAUUCCUGGUGUAGCGGUGAAAUGCGUAGAUAUCAGGAGGAACACCGGUGGCGAAGGCGGCCCUCUGGACGGAUACUGACGCUGAGACGCGAAAGCGUGGGGAGCAAACA
rnacentral:rRNA from 1 species